UACGUAGGCAGCGAGCGUUGUUCGGAGUUACUGGGCGUAAAGGGUGUGUAGGCGGUUUUCUAAGUCUGGUGUGAAAUCUCCCGGCUCAACUGGGAGGGUGCGCCGAAAACUGGAAGGCUAGAGUACUGGAUGGGUAAGUGGAAUUCCUGGUGUAGCGGUGGAAUGCGCAGAUAUCAGGAAGAACACCAACGGCGAAGGCAGCUCGCUGGGACGGUACUGACGCUGAGACGCGAAAGCGUGGGGAGCGAACAGG
rnacentral:rRNA from 1 species